rnacentral:piRNA from 1 species
UAAUUCGAGGUGUAUCGCUUUAACGCU